ensembl:lncRNA
ACCAAAAACACACACCCACAGCGCAUCAGACCAGCUCGGAAACUAAAAAUAGGCGACGCGAGGGGACAGCGAAGACAGCCCUGAAGGAAGUUCGUUGUUGACCAGAGGGGCUGGAAAAGCGGCUGAUUGUGCAACGCGCGGGGAGCCGGUGGUUAUCUGGGACGGCAGUUAAACCGGCGGAGGGGCCCCGGCCGCGGAGCAGCUCUGAGCUGGGCGCCCGGGGCCCGCCCGUCCAGGUGCCCUGCUGGCAGGAGCGCCCACCACUCUGGGCUUGUCCCCGUGCGGGCUCAGGGCUCCCGCUUCUCCUGAGAGGCCCUGACGGCCUCUGGUUCACACGCCCCGCACCCUCACCCGAACUCGAAGCCUCACGCCCACCGGAGCCUCAUGAGUCCUUGGCGUCCCGGAUGAAGUCACAGGGUUUAAAAUGAAGGCAUUUCCUCACCUGUAAAGUGACUAGAAGAUUGCCCAGGUCCCUUCCAACAACUGCAGACUGUGUCAUCGGCUGGAUUUGGGCCCGAGCUGGACUGUGUGCAGCCCUCUCUCAGGAACACCUCUGUCUUUCCUGCCUUGAGCUUAGUUUCUGUCUAGAAAGUUGUAAGAGUUGAGACAAUGAGAGGAGGCUGAGGAGCUGUUUGCUCCCCUGAAUCAGGGGUUCGGAUCCAGUUGAGGGAUGCGGGGGUGGGGAGGAGAAGGUUCAGUCGAUGCCUAGACCUGACACAUUAACCCCUGGAUGAAUUAUUUUCACUUCUGUGAAAAAGGCUUUGGCUAUGGCUUCACGGAGAAGCCCGCCGCAUCGUAAAACCACCGGUGUCACGAGCUGUCUUCUGGAGAGUGGAAACGGGCAGGAUGUGGUUUGAACUGACAGAAAGAUGAGGCAGUGCGUUCCUCCUUGGGG